rnacentral:rRNA from 1 species
CUACGGGACGCACCAGUGAGGAAUUUUGCGCAAUGGGGGGAACCCUGACGCAGCAACGCCGCGUGAGUGAUGAAGGCUUUCGGGUCGUAAAGCUCUGUCAAGUGGGAAGAACCUAUGCAGUGUUAAUAUCACUGUAUACUGACGGUACCACUGAAGGAAGCACCGGCUAACUCCGUGCCAGCAGCCGCGGUAAUACGGGGGGUGCAAGCGUUAUUCGGAAUCAUUGGGCGUUAAGGGCACGUAGGCGGCUUGGUAAGUCAGAUGUGAAAGCCCGGGGCUUAACCCCGGAAGUGCAUUUGAUACUGUCAGGCUCGAGUAUGGGAGAGGGAAGUGGAAUUCCUGGUGUAGAGGUGAAAUUCGUAGAUAUCAGGAGGAACACCGGUGGCGAAGGCGACUUCCUGGACCAAUACUGACGCUGAGGUGCGAAGGCGUGGGUAGCAAACAGGAUUAGAUACCCCUGUAGUC